GGGGCAGGCUGGUCCGGGCGGGCGAGGCGCAGGGCUCUCCCACACGUCGCGCCGCCAAUGGCAAGUUGGAGGGCGAGAUGCAAAUACCAGUGGCCAUGCUUUCACCAGGGGAUUCCUGAUCCUGGAGCCUCACCAUUCUCUGCUGGUCUCUUGUCCAUGAGGCUCCCCUCUCGAAAUCGUGCUCUCAGAAGAAUGUCUGAGAAGGCCAGGCCAGAAGCUGCUGAGGGUUAAAGGUGGAUACCUCCUAAGAGUGUGGCUUAAACCAGAGCUGAAGCCUCAAGGCACGGAAAAGCCAGAGGAAAAGUCUUCUUCUUGGGAAGGGCAGGGGGAGAGGGCACCGCGCCAACGAGCUAACAGGUAACCGGUGUCCGCCCAAGUACCUGCCAAUGACCUGGAGUCCACCUGUGGGAAUCCCGUAAGUUCCCACCUUCCCCAGACACUGAAAACUAACCACGGCCCCAGGGUCUGGGAACUGUGGCCAAAGCAAACCCCACCCCCCCUUGAUGAAAGUCUUGCGCUGACCUCGAGCUGGGGAGCCGUGGGCCGCAGCAGUGACGUCCCGGCCCCAUGGCUCCAGGUCAGCCAGGCUGCCCUUCCCGAUGACCUUGCUGCUCCCCAGCCUGCCAGCCCUUCUCCACCCGGCUCCCCGCUCUUCCAUUUGCCCAUUGGGUGAGCCCCAGCCAGGUGGGGCCCGCCGACUGAGAUCACUACUCCUGACGACAGCCACGCUGUCUCUGCCAGUGGCUCAGUUCCUGACUUGGCAGGAAUUCCCCUUCUCGAGUUGCCCAUGAAUGCCCAGGCUCCGCUGCCCCAUCCAGUGUGCACUCUCAGCCUCUCUCCUUCCAGCCUGUCCCUGCCCCAACUCCUAUUCAGUCCUCUCAAGCCUCAGAACCUGGGUCCUUCCAAGAGCAGAGGGCCUCCUGGCUGCCCAUAGCCUGUGCAGGACCAGCUCGCUCACCACUCCUGGGUUCAACCUGCCUUUCCACCUUGGCAGCUUUCUCAGCCCUUCUUUGUCCCCUCUUUCAAGCAGUGCCUAUGCUCCUCUGCAAAUCACCCCAGCUUCUUUAGAGACAAGGUAGCUGGUGGCUUCCCCCCUUCCUUUAACCCCUUGGCCUCAGCAAAUUCUAUUCGAACCUGUGGCUAGAACAGAACACCACAGUGCCACAGAUUCUGUAGCCAUGGCCCUGACUUUCCACUACAGACACAAGCUAGAAAAGUCACCCAUCAAUCAGACUUUCAGAAUGAAAACCAUAUUCAAAAGCCCAGAGAGAAGUUAUAGUUUAAAAGAAAUCCUCCCACCUGGACGCCUGGGUGGCUCAGUUGGUUAAGCAGCUGCC